rnacentral:rRNA from 1 species
GAUGAACGCUGGCGGCGUGCCUAAUACAUGCAAGUCGAGCGAACAGACGAGGAGCUUGCUCCUCUGACGUUAGCGGCGGACGGGUGAGUAACACGUGGAUAACCUACCUAUAAGACUGGGAUAACUUCGGGAAACCGGAGCUAAUACCGGAUAAUAUAUUGUACCGCAUGGUUCAAUAGUGAAAGACGGUUUUGCUGUCACUUAUAGAUGGAUUCGCGCCGCAUUAGCUAGUUGGUAAGGUAACGGCUUACCAAGGCAACGAUGCGUAGCCGACCUGAGAGGGUGAUCAGCCACACUGGAACUGAGACACGGUCCAGACUCCUACGGGAGGCAGCAGUAGGGAAUCUUCCGCAAUGGGCGAAAGCCUGACGGAGCAACGCCGCGUGAGUGAUGAAGGUCUUCGGAUCGUAAAACUCUGUUAUUAGGGAAGAACAAAUGUGUAAGUAACUAUGCACGUCUUGACGGUACCUAAUCAGAAAGCAACGGCUAACUACGUG